AACGAACGCUGGCGGCGUGCCUAAUACAUGCAAGUCGAACGUGAACAGGGGCAACCCUUAGUAAAGUGGCGCACGGGUGAGUAACACGUAGGUCAUCUGCCUUUUAGUGGGGAAUAACACAGCGAAAGUUGUGCUAAUGCCGCAUACGUAAGUAAUUAGAAAGGUGGCGUCCGCAAGGAGCUACCGCUGAAAGAAGAGCCUGCGGCCUAUUAGCUAGUUGGUGGGGUAAUGGCCUACCAAGGCAACGAUAGGUAUCCGGUCUGAGAGGAUGAUCGGACACACUGGAACUGAGACACGGUCCAGACUCCUACGGGAGGCAGCAGUAGGGAAUAUUGCGCAAUGGGGGAAACCCUGACGCAGCAACGCCGCGUGAGUGAGGAAGGUCUUCGGAUUGUAAAACUCUUUUAUUAGGGAAAAAUGUCCAUGUGGCUAAUAUCCAUGUGGAGUGAUGGUACCUAAGGAAUAAGCACCGGCUAACUUCGUGCCAGCAGCCGCCGUAA
rnacentral:rRNA from 1 species